GUGGCUAUUUUUAGGUGGUUUUUCCUCUGUGUCUCAUCCCCAGCUCUCGGCUGCUGUGCCUUAGUGGUGUUCCCAUUCCUCCCUCACAGCAGCGGUCCUGUGGUUUCAGGGGCAAGCGGGGGACGUGUCCCCGGGGACUGACUCCUGCUUGCUCCCGAGGGGCACUUUGGCAGGGCGGACGUUGGAAGCUGAACGCAGAGGAAGCAUCUGGAAGCAGAGCCCUUGGCCUCAGCCCCCUGUCCUGGAUGCUGAUGGGGGUUCAUGCUGGGAAAUCCUCUCUGGUGGUCUGGGGACUCUGAGCCGCUGAGGACGUCUUUGUGGAGGUGUGGCAUUUGUUAAGAAGGAGACAGUGAAGCUUGCAGAGGAGUGAGCUCCGGGCAGAAUUCAUGCCAGGAAGACGUGGCCUCAAGGUAGACGCCUUCCUCUCCUGCCUGGGAACCGACAGGUGACUUGUGGAGGAGGCCUGUCUGGGAUGGUGCAGGUGGUGCUGGGUCACACACUUGGUGCCUGGGCAGAGCGUGGAUUUCUCUGACCAGCUCCGGGGAUAUUCCACUGUGGAGCUGCCAGGUUGCACCCUGUCCCACUGUGGAGGGGGGGUGGCUGGAGCGGAGGUGGUGGGCAAUGUCUGGCCCCUGCUGUGUCCUCACCACCCUCCCGGGGCCCUGCAGUCCUUUGUGAUGAAAGCAAGCUCUUCGGGAUGAGGUCUGGCUGGGCUUCUUGGAGGCAACCCAUCCAAUUUUUUUUAGUCCUCUAAAAAAAUAAUCCAAAACAGUGUUUCAGAAAUGGUGGGUGCAAUGUUUAUAGUUAACAAAUUAACUUUAGCUCAUAAAAGUACAAAGUGGCCUAAUUGUGCUAUUCAGAACAAAAUUAUAGGAUUGAUUACAAUGUGACUUUGUGGUCCCUGUGGCUGAUGGGCCAAGCCGAAAGGCAUCAGGGGCCUCCUGUGUUUCUCCAGUGGGCGUCACCCGGAGGCCACAUGCGCCUUCGGUGCUGGGUGGAGGUGGCCCAGCCCUGUGUAGGCCCAGCCCGGUGUAAGCCCCGCGCUCCCCGCAGGCCUGGGUCUCGCUCAGGGCCCUCCCAGUAGCCCAGAGUCCUCAGCUUGGAGCUCACACUGCUGUGAUCCUGCCCACGUGAGCUGGCCAGGGUGCUUCCUGUCCCUCCCCGCCGGAUCCUCUCGUGUAGUCCUGGUGGUGGGCUCAGCUCCCUAGGGGCCACCAUCCAGCCCGCUGUCACAGCCAGCCUGCUCUGUGGGGGCCUGAAUUGUCUGCCUCCAUCCUGAUCAGGUCCAGCCAGCAGCAGGACACGGCUUCGCCCAGCAGGAGUUGAUGUGGGGCUGGGGAGGUGGCGUCUGCCUGUCUGCCCGUGUUCCCAGGAGCACCCCAAGGCCUCCACAUGUGGCUGCAGACUUUGCAGCUGGAGCUCCAGCCCUUCUCUACAGCAGGGAGGGGGUGUCUUCCGCCUCAGUGUGAACACCAUUCGUAGGGAAGUGUUCCCUGUCCGUGAAUGAGGGGUGAGUGUUACAUAACACACGCAGAAAUAGACUUACGCUCAAGUGUGUUCUGAGGGUGGGGAGAGCUCUAUUUAAGCUGCACGUGAAGUGGGCUGCUUCUGCCAUCUGGAAUCCUGGGUGACACUGAGCAGAGUAUGUUCUGCUCACAGAGGACAGAGGUUAAUUGAGUGCAUUGGAGAGCGCGCUGCUGGGCGGUGCUGGGGGGUGAAUGUCGGUUCUCACCAUGCACUCGCUCCCUGACAGCCCCACUGCCCUGAGACUUGCUCUCUGCUGCACCUGUGGUGUUUGAUGCUGUCUGUCCAUCUGGAUAUCUGCCCUAGCACCCAUCCAUCUGCACAUUCCUUUGGGGGUGCA